rnacentral:rRNA from 1 species
CUCGCGCUACCAUGCAAGUCGAGCGGAUGAAAGGAGCUUGCUCCUGGAUUCAGCGGCGGACGGGUGAGUAAUGCCUAGGAAUCUGCCUGGUAGUGGGGGACAACGUUUUCGAAAGGAACGCUAAUACCGCAUACGUCCUACGGGAGAAAGCAGGGGACCUUCGGGCCUUGCGCUAUCAGAUGAGCCUAGGUCGGAUUAGCUAGUUGGUGAGGUAAUGGCUCACCAAGGCGACGAUCCGUAACUGGUCUGAGAGGAUGAUCAGUCACACUGGAACUGAGACACGGUCCAGACUCCUACGGGAGGCAGCAGUGGGGAAUAUUGGACAAUGGGCAAAGCCUGAUCCAGCCAUGCCGCGUGUGUGAAGAAGGUCUUCGGAUUGUAAAGCACUUUAAGUUGGGAGGAAGCGUAAAUUAAUACUUUU